UUAAGCUAGAAAGAGCGCAGGGUGGAUGCCUUGGCACUAAGAGCCGAUGAAAGACGUGAUAAGCUGCGAAAAGCUUCGGGGAGGAGCAAAUAUCCUUUGAUCCGGAGAUCUCUGAAUGGGGAAACCUACUUGAGUGUACCUCAAGUGACGUAUGGUGAAUACAUAGCCAUACGCCGGGAACCCGGUGAACUGAAACAUCUAAGUAGCCGGAGGAAGAGAAAGAAACAUCGAUUCCGAAAGUAGCGGCGAGCGAAAUUGGAAGAGCCCAAACCGGAAUGCGUGCAUUCCGGGGUUAAGGACCACGUUAUGUGACCCGUAUGGUAAUGGAACUGUCUGGGAAGUCAGACCAAAGAGAGUGAAAGUCUCGUACAUGAAACCAGAAGGGAGCUAGUGGGAUCCAGAGUACUGCGAGACACGUGGAACCUUGCAGGAAGUCGGGGGGACCACCCCCCAAGGCUAAAUACUCCUUAGUGACCGAUAGCGCAUAGUACUGUGAAGGAAAGGUGAAAAGGACCCCGGGAGGGGAGUGAAAGAGAACCUGAAACCCUGUGUUUACAAGCUGUGGAAGCACGUUAAGGUGCAACCGCGUACUUUUUGUAGAACGGUCCGGCGAGUUGCGGAUGCUGGCAAGGUUAAGCACUAAAGGUGCGGAGCCGAAGCGAGAGCAAGUCUGAAUAGGGCGUCAAGUCAGCAUGUGCAGACCCGAAACCGGGUGAUCUAUCCAUGUCCAGGUUGAAGCGAAAGUAAAAUUUCGUGGAGGACCGAACGCACAUCCGUUGAAAAGGGUGGCGAUGAGGUGUGGAUAGGGGAGAAAUUCCAAUCGAACCCGGAGAUAGCUGGUUCUCCUCGAAAUAGCUUUAGGGCUAGCCUCGUAUUAGUCUGGUGGAGGUAGAGCACUGAAUUUCCUAGGGGGCGUCAAAGCCUACCGAAGAAUAUCAAACUCCGAAUGCCAUACAGAUGAUGUACGGGAGUCAGACGGCACGAGAUAAGUUGGGUCGUCAAAAGGGAAAGAGCCCAGACCUGCAGCUAAGGUCCCAAAGUGUGUGUUAAGUGGAAAAGGAUGUGGGAUUUCAAAGACAACUAGGAUGUUGGCUCAGAAGCAGCCACACAUUCAAAGAGUGCGUAAUAGCUCACUAGUCGAGAGGUCCUGCGCCGAAAAUGUCCGGGGCUGAAACACAACACCGAAGCUCAGGAAUGUAUUUAUACAUUGGUAGAGGAGCAUUCUUAAAGGGGCGAAGCAGUACCGAUAAGGAGCUGUGGACUUUUAAGAAGAGAGAAUGCCGGAAUGAGUAGCGAGAUGGAGGUGGGAAUCCUCCAGGCCGAAUAUCUAAGGUUUCCAGGGUAAAGCUGAUCUGCCCUGGGUAAGUCGGGGCCUAAGGCAAGGCUGAGAAGCGUAGCUGAUGGACAACAGGUUUAGAUUCCUGUACCACAUGAUAUCAGAACUGUGGGGACGCAGAGGGAUAAGAUGACCGGGGAACAGAACUCCGGGCAAGCGUAGGAGGUGUCAGGCAGGCAAAUCCGCCUGAUAAGCCAAAGACGUGACGCGGACCGAACUCAAGUAGGGAAGCAUCCGAUUCCAGCUGCCGAGAAAAGCCGCUAUUGUGUACCAUGUGCCCGUACCGUAAACCGACACAGGUGGAUGAGGAGAGAAUCCUAAGGCCGGCGGGAGAAGCAUUGUUAAGGAACUCGGCAAAAUGACCCCGUAACUUCGGGAUAAGGGGUGCCAGAGAGAUCUGGCCGCAGAGAAUAGGCUCAAGCAACUGUUUAGCAAAAACACAGGUCUAUGCGAAACCGUAAGGUGAUGUAUAUGGGCUGACGCCUGCCCGGUGCUGGAAGGUUAAGAGGAGAGGUUAGAGCAAUCGAAGCUUUGAAUUGAAGCCCCAGUAAACGGCGGCCGUAACUAUAACGGUCCUAAGGUAGCGAAAUUCCUUGUCGGGUAAGUUCCGACCCGCACGAAAGGCGUAAUGAUUUGAGCGCUGUCUCGACAAUGCACCCGGUGAAA
rnacentral:rRNA from 1 species